CAAAGCCAAUCUAGAAAUUACAGAGAUCAGAAAAUGAGGGCUAGGGCAAAUUGUUCGAUUCAAUUUCCUCGAAUCGGUGGUCCUAGAUCUGACGGCGGCUGCGAUCGACUCGGUACUGGGCGCCGGCAAUCGUCACUGAGCUCGGCGCCUGCAAUCGACUAUGUAGUCGGCACGGGCGAUCGACUCGGUACUCGGCACCGACGAUCGAUUCGGAGCUCGGCGCCGGCGGUUGUUUCAGUGGUUCGGUCCGCCGGUUAAGUCGGUGGUUGAAUUCGUCGAUGGCGGUCGAUUCGGAUACUCUAGGGUUCUCGAAGAUGGAGCAGUUAUGCUAUCCUAAAAUCAGAAAGCUCGUUGGAUUUUUGGAAUGUGGCCCAGUUGACCUGCUACAGAAAACAGUGGUUUGUAUACUUGUGGGAGUUGCCGAGGUCUACUGCUACACAGCAAUAUUGGAUAUCUGCUUAAACAAGUGGCAAGAUUUGUUUGCAUUGGGACAAUGGCAAGAUUUCAGGCUUACCAUAAUCUGAUGGCGUUUCGAAGGUGCAGUCAAAUCGGUACUUGGCGGUUGUUUCUGUGGUUCAGUCCAAAGGAUAAGUUGGUGGUUCAAUCCGUCCAUGACGGUCGACCUUGAUAUUCUAUGGUUCUCGAAGAUGGAGCAGGAUACCAUUACUUUGCUGUGCAGCUGUGGGGGUUUCUACUUUCUCGUUCGAAAAAUGCACUUGUUGAGCUAAAGUUCUAUAUUAUUCCUCUUAUGCUAUGACCAUGACAUCCAGUUACUUAUGAUAAAAAAGCCUGUUGGAUAUUUGACAUGUGGCCCAGUUGACGAACCACAGUGGUACUUUGGUUUAUAUACUUGGGAAGUCUCCAGAGGUCUACUGCUACACGUCAAGAUUGGACAUCUGCUUAACUGAGGUGUUCUGAAGUGUCACCCAAGCCAGAGACCAAGCAGAUUUGUUUGCAUUGGGACAGUGGUAAGAUUUCAGAUCAACUAGUCUAGUUGGAUGUUGAAGAUGAUCAGGGUGAGGACGAAGGGUGAAAAACAGUAGAGGGGACCUUCAAGAGGGUGAGGAAAAUGGCAAAACAAUGGGACCUUCGGACUUGUAUGCAGUGCUGCACCCUGCUAGUCAAUGGUUUUUGGGGGAAUUUUUAUAUUUUUUUUUCACUUUAUCAACUGUUUUUAGAUAUGUCAUUGUAAACCAGCAAAUCUGCAAAAUCAUAACAAAA